CGAGUGAGGAGCGAGCAGCGAACUAUAGUAGUGACUAGUGAGAGUGAGGAUGUGUGGAGCCUGGCCUUCUCUCCUGUGCCACUGCUAGUAGCUACCAGUCCACACCAAGAUCUAUCUGCUGGAAUCGAUAUCUGAAUAACUUAUAUAGCCUCUCAUCCCGAUCAAGCGCAGAUCCCUGAUCCCGAGCUGCCCAACGUCAUGGUGAAGGAUGACCCUUUGGAUAACGAAAACCCUAGAUCUCACACUGCUAACAACAUCCAUGUCGAUAACAAGAGGGAAGAAAUGUCCAUCAUGGUCUCAUCAGUCAAUGAUCAGUACAAAACGGCGGCGCUCGACUUCCAGAAAGACAAAACUACUACCGAUCGACCCCGACUGCAAGGACAAGCUAGUGUUCGCGUGGCCACUCCCACAUAGCCUAUGAACCGGUGCUAUCCCGUUUGAGCUUUUCAUUUCACGGAACCUCUCCUCUCUGGCAUUUUCUGGUUCCUCAUGCCAGAAUUAGUAUUCUUGACCUUGUAAGGCCUCUUCUUGACCUUGUAAGGCCCUCCCUCUACGUCUGGCACCUCCUAGCACCUCCUUCUCGCUUCUUUCUUGCUGCCCAUGAAACCAGUCUCACCAUUGCUGUGUUAGCCGGGCUCUCGCAACCACCUAUCUCCUGCUCCCUUCUAUCCCUCCUGAGCUAGCUUAUCCAUGUAAUAUAACCAUGCUUGAUUUAUAUAAAGCGCUGGGUUUAUUUAAUA